AGAUCGGUGCUAUCCGUAACCAUCGUGUGAGUUAAGUAAAAAAUAACAACGAAAAUUUGUAUAAUUUUCCUGAGUUUUGAAAACGAAAUGAAAAUAUUGCACGAAGAGUAGCAACUUAAACAGCCACAGAAGUCCAGCAUCAGAUAGACAGCGGAAAGUUAAAGCGUAAACGAAAAUAAUAAAAAUUUUUUUGCCGAGUCCAUUUUAAAAAAAAGUUAACUGAGAAAUUUUGAAUUUACUUGGAAUUUAGAACGAUAGAACUAGGAACGAUGUUGCCGGUUUGAACUGUGUGAACUGACUGAAAAUAAUACUGGCUUGGGCCGGCCGUAUAAAUAGGAGCAUUCAGCAGCCUGCUUUGUUCACAAAAAAGUUAGUUGUUAGGCUGUUUUAAAAUUAAAUAAAAUCUUUAUAAAUAUAUAUAUCGCCUAUAUUCGGUUCGUGAAAGAAGAUCGAAAUAAAAAUAUGAUGUCCAUGUUUUAUUUUCGUUUGGUUUUUAAACAGAAAAAUAUCGAUAUUAGUUAUAUUUACCACCCUCUGUAGGUCAGACGCCUUGCGCUUCAUGGCGAAGAUGUACGCACCUCCUUCUGCUAACCCACCUUGUAACCAGGCUUUUGAAAUGCAAGGAUAUUGUUAUUACUCAUUACAUUACGAUGAUACGCGAUAAAAUUGCAAGCAGCUUCAUAUCGCUGAUAGUUGGCAUCCUGGUUGCAAUAUAUGUGUACAGGCUUCUGGAGAAGGAUGUUCCCCAAAAAGUGAAUAGAAAGCCACAGAAUCCGGAGUACCCCUUGCCGGCUUCUCAUUCACCGUUGCAUGAAUUCGCGCGGGCUGGCAUCUGCACCGACAACGAUGUCUGCGGUCUUAUGGCCAGGAAGGCCCUUGAAGAUGGCGGUAGCGUUGUGGAUGCCGCUCUCUCUGCCUUACUCUGCAAUGGCCUCAUCGGAAUGCAGAGCAUGGGUCUCGGCGGUGGCAUGUUGAUGAAAAUUUAUAUACACGAAGAGCGAAAAUCCUACAGCAUUUCUGCCCGCGAAAUAUCACCCAUUUCCCUGCGGGCCGAGAACUUUUCCAUCUUCCGUGACGAGCAGGAGUUUAAGCAGUCCAGCUGGUCCAUUGCGGUGCCCACUGAACUAGCUGGCUAUGCCCUCGCCCAUCAGCGAUUUGGCCGGCUGCCAUGGUCGGAGCUGGUGAAGCCAACGCUUGCAUUGUGUCACACGGGCUAUCGCUUGUAUAAGCAUCAAUAUGAUGCCCUUGCCCUGAACAGAGAUAUGAUCAAAGCUGAUCGUUUGCUGCGGCAAAUGUUCAUCGAUCCCAAAACAGAGAACUUCUGGCCCAUUGGCCAUUUCAUUCAGCCUCCUGCCCAACUGUGCAGCACCUAUGAGCGGCUGGCCAUGGAGGGACCGCACAGCUUCUACAACGGAUCUCUGGCCGAGGACCUGUUGGCCGACUUGAGGGACAUGGGCAGUGUUAUAGGCAAGGAGGACCUAAGCCGCGCUGAUGCUAAAAUUAGCGAGUCCCUGGUGAUUCCCCUCGACGAAUACGAUCUGCAUUUGACGCCUUUGCCAGGCAGCGGCCAUGUCCUGGGCUUUAUAAUGAGCAUUUUGCGACACUUUCGUAGGGACUUUGCACGCACCAGCGAUAUGGGGCCCCUGGAGGUACAUCGAAUGAUUGAGGCCAUGAAAUUUGGCUUUGUCAAGCGCUGGCAGCUCGACGAAGCGGCCGAUGAGCAGCUACUGAAAAGCAUGACCAGCACCAAGGUGUCCGCUUCCAUGGCCGAAGAAAUCGAUGACUCUAUGACGUUCAAUAGCCCCCGGUCGUACGGGGCCCCCGCGGAGAUACGUGUGCGAGAGGAGCACGGUACGGCCCACACAUCAGUGCUGCACGACAACGAUGCCGUUUCAGUCACCAGCACCAUCAAUUUCUACUUCGGCAGCGGACGCACAGGAAAGCGUACAGGUGUGCUCUUCAACAAUGCCAUGUCGGACUUCUCCAUCAAGCAUCUGAGGAACUACUUUGACUUACCCUUUGUCCCAGGCAAGAACAGGGUGGCACCCACUACCCGGCCCAUGUCCUCGAUGAGCCCUCUCAUCGUCACGGAGCGCACGACGGGCAAGGUUCGGCUGGUUGUUGGUGCCGCUGGUGGCACCAAAAUCAUAUCCUCCCUCGUUCCGCUGCUGGUGCGGAUUCUUUGGCAGCAGGCGAACAUCAAAUAUGCCAUCGACGCCAGUCGCAUUCACCAUCAGAUGCUGCCCAAUGUCCUGCUCUAUGAGUAUGGCCUGCUGGAUAGCCAUGUGAAGAGCCUGGAGACCAGGGGACAUGUUUGUGAACGCUAUCUGAACCGCGGCUCUGUGAUAUGCGGCAUAACCCAAAAGAAUGGCACCAUUCUGGUGAAUUCUGACUUUCGUAAACCCGGCGGAGUUACUGGAUUCUAAAACGGGUGUUCCGCCGCGUUUCUACACUCUACACUACAUGUAGAACAUGUAGUACAUGUAGUGACGGCACAUCUACAUACUACAUAGAACAUGUAAGUGUACCUGUAAAAUACACAUUUGUACGUAGAACUUUAUUUAUGUACCAUAAAUAUAAGCACCAGAACACACACACUCCUUAUUGGCUGAUGAUAUCUAUAUAAGACACUGAACAAAUCACGAUACAAAUAUUAAAGUUGUAUUCUUUUAGACUCCAUUUGUGUUGAUAUGAUCUUUGGGUUAUCUAAGCCGAAAAAACCUGCAGCAAAAAAAAGUAGCUCAAACCAAAAAUCAGUUUGAAGCGGGCUCUUGCCCAAGUGGCGAAGACAACUUAACUAAAAUGUUGUUUUAUAUAUAAAUACCAUUGGAUUGCUUUUUGUUCAGCAGUUAAUUCAGUUAUUUCAUUAGUAAAAAUGUUAAAUAAUAUUUGCCAACUGAAGCAUUACAAACGUUAGUUCAAAUACCCAUAACCUGACACACAGUUUCAUGGGAAGAAGACGACAAAACUGGGCAACGGACGAAUGCAUUUUUUAGUUUUUUUUUUUUGCGAAAUGGCAAAUCGACUUCAGAUUACCCGCAUAUACACAUGUGCACUUACAUAUGUAUUUAUUGCAAAAUUAUAAUGAAUGGCCUGGCUUGAGUAGUUAUUCAGAAAGACAGAAAGAACCAACGAGCGAGACGCCUAGCGAUCCGAUACCAUUCCAUUACCAUCUUGGAAAAACCACCCACGGUUCUCAUGGGGUCGCUGAUCUGAUCGGAUACGAUCCGAUCCAAUCCAAUCCGACUGCUUCUGCUUCCCACAUCACAUGGCGAAAAACUUUCAUUUGAGUCGCAUAAUCAAACGCUCAUCUGGCUUCCCUCUUCCGGUCGGUCGGUUGGUCGGUCGGUCGGUGACAGAGCCACCUGAGCCCUCCACAGCCAUCGCUGCCAUCUCUGCCAUCUCUGGCAUCUUUGCCAUCUCUGCCACCGGGUUGUGGCUGAUCUUCAUGGGGGUUUGGUUUUCGUAAUGCUGCAGACGACCCCGACCAUUGCCGAAAUCUCUGGCGUUGCGAAUGGCUCUCCGACCAUUACGGUAUCUCUUGCCUCUUUCAGUCCACUCCAAUCGUUCGGUGGUCAGUGAUCCGCUGGACCGCUGGUCAGUGGAAUUAGGACAAGUAUGGGAAUAUAAUCAGAAAGUCUCGAGUCUCAAGUCUCUGGCCAUCAGUGCUAGUACUUGUACUGCCACUAUUUGCCACAGUUGGCGGCUUAGGCCAGCCAUGCUGCCUGCCAAUUAAUAGAAUUAAACAGAACACAGAGCACAGCUCAGAGCUCAGAGCUCUUACUGUACUCCAGUUUUAGUACGGGUUUUUGUCGUCUUAUUUUUCAUCGUGGAAUUGUGUAGUACUCAGGUUCGGGUCGGCUACUCUGUUGUCUCUGUUGUGACCGAACUAGCCAGCAAAAUUACAACCAAACCAACAACACAAAAACGAAAGAAACAAACAACAACAAAGCCAAGCCAUUUUACGUCAACAGUGUGCACUGCGAGGUUUCACCAAAAAGUUAUACCACAACAAAUAAAAAAAAAAGGGGGAAAAAAACCCGCCCAACCUCUUCUGUUAUUCUAUUGUAGCACAGAUUGAUUAAACGCUAUACCGUGUAUUUAUGGAUGUGUUAAAAAUGUUGAUUUAAUAAUCCAAUUAAGAUGGCCAUAAAAACAAAGACAACCAUAAAUAAUGCUAUGCUCAAAACACGCUCAAAUUUAAGCCAUGCAAAGUGAAUGAUGUAAAAACAGUUUGUUUUUUGUUAAAAACUAAAUAAAAAUUAGUCUUGAGAAAAAACACAUUCCUACACACAAAUCUUUAAGGAAAUAAGUAAUAUGAAAGUUGAAAUAUAUUUCUGAUAGUAAAAUUCACAGACA
rnacentral:misc_RNA from 1 species